UACGUAGGUGGCAAGCGUUGUCCGGAUUUACUGGGCGUAAAGAGCGCGCAGGCGGUCGUUCAAGUCGCGUGUGAAAGCCCCCGGCUCAACUGGGGAGGGUCACGCGAUACUGAUCGACUCGAAGGCAGGAGAGGGAAGUGGAAUUCCCGGUGUAGUGGUGAAAUGCGUAGAUAUCGGGAGGAACACCAAAGGCGAAGGCAGUGUCCUGGGGAGUAACUGACGCUCAGGUGCGAAAGCCAGGGGAGCGAACGGG
rnacentral:rRNA from 1 species